ACGGGAGGCAGCAGUGGGGAAUAUUGCACAAUGGGGGGAACCCUGAUGCAGCGACGCCGCGUGAGUGAAGAAGUAUUUCGGUAUGUAAAGCUCUAUCAGCAGGGAAGAAAAUGACGGUACCUGACUAAGAAGCCCCGGCUAACUACGUGCCAGCAGCCGCGGUAAUACGUAGGGGGCAAGCGUUAUCCGGAUUUACUGGGUGUAAAGGGAGCGUAGACGGAAGGCUAAGUCUGAUGUGAAAGCCCGCAGCUCAACUGCGGACGUGCAUUGGAAACUGGUCAUCUAGAGUGCAGGAGAGGUAAGUGGAAUUCCUAGUGUAGCGGUGAAAUGCGUAGAUAUUAGGAGGAACACCAGUGGCGAAGGCGGCUUACUGGACUGUAACUGACGUUGAGGCUCGAAAGCGUGGGGAGCAAACAGGAUUAGAUACCCUGGUA
rnacentral:rRNA from 2 species